AGGACGAACGCUGGCGGCGUGCUUAACACAUGCAAGUCGAGCGAGGCUCCUCCUUCGGGAGGAUGUCCUAGCGGCGAACGGGUGAGUAACACGUGGGCAACCUGCCCCUAGCACUGGGAUAACCCCGGGAAACCGGGGCUAAUACCGGAUAUCACGUUGGAGGGCAUCCUCUGAUGUUGAAAGGGUUACUGGCUAGGGAUGGGCCCGCGGCCUAUCAGCUUGUUGGUGGGGUAACGGCCUACCAAGGCGACGACGGGUAGCCGGCCUGAGAGGGCGACCGGCCACACUGGGACUGAGACACGGCCCAGACUCCUACGGGAGGCAGCAGUGGGGAAUAUUGCACAAUGGGCGAAAGCCUGAUGCAGCGACGCCGCGUGAGGGAUGACGGCCUUCGGGUUGUAAACCUCUUUCAGCAGGGACGAAGCGAAAGUGACGGUACCUGCAGAAGAAGCACCGGCCAACUACGUGCCAGCAGCCGC
rnacentral:rRNA from 1 species